rnacentral:rRNA from 1 species
AGUGAACGCUGGCGGUAGGCCUAACACAUGCAAGUCGAACGGCAGCACAGUAAGAGCUUGCUCUUACGGGUGGCGAGUGGCGGACGGGUGAGGAAUACAUCGGAAUCUACUUUUUCGUGGGGGAUAACGUAGGGAAACUUACGCUAAUACCGCAUACGACCUACGGGUGAAAGCAGGGGAUCUUCGGACCUUGCGCGAUUGAAUGAGCCGAUGUCGGAUUAGCUAGUUGGCGGGGUAAAGGCCCACCAAGGCGACGAUCCGUAGCUGGUCUGAGAGGAUGAUCAGCCACACUGGAACUGAGACACGGUCCAGACUCCUACGGGAGGCAGCAGUGGGGAAUAUUGGACAAUGGGCGCAAGCCCGAUCCAGCCAUACCGCGCGGGUGAAGAAGGCCUUCGGGUUGUAAAGCCCUUUUGUUGGGAAAGAAAAGCAGCAGGUUAAUACCCCGCUGUUCUGACGGUACCCAAAGAAUAAGCACCGGCUAACUUCGUG